GUGCCAGCCGCCGCGGUAACACGUAGGAUCCGAGCGUUAUCCGAAUUUACUGGGCGUAAAGCGCAUGCAGGCGGCCGGGUAAGUUGGACGUGAAAGCUUCUGGCUCAACUGGGAGAGGUCGUUCAAGACUGCUUGGCUAGAGGGCGGUAGAGGGAGGUGGAAUUCCCGGUGUAGUGGUGAAAUGCGUAGAGAUCGGGAGGAACACCAGUGGCGAAAGCGGCCUCCUGGGCCGCACCUGACGCUCAGAUGCGAAAGCUAGGGGAGCGAACGGGAUUAGAAACCCUUGUAGUCC
rnacentral:rRNA from 1 species